rnacentral:rRNA from 1 species
AUUGCCCUAGUACGGCGAGUGAAGCGGCAACAGCUCAAAUUUGAAAUCUGGCUCUCGGGCCCGAGUUGUAAUUUGUAGAGGAUACUUUUGAUGCGGUGCCUUCCGAGUUCCCUGGAACGGGACGCCAUAGAGGGUGAGAGCCCCGUCUGGUUGGAUGCCAAAUCUCUGUAAAGUUCCUUCGACGAGUCGAGUAGUUUGGGAAUGCUGCUCUAAAUGGGAGGUAUAUGUCUUCUAAAGCUAAAUACCGGCCAGAGACCGAUAGCGCACAAGUAGAGUGAUCGAAAGAUGAAAAGCACUUUGAAAAGAGAGUUAAAAAGUACGUGAAAUUGUUGAAAGGGAAGCGUUUAUGACCAGACUUGGGCUUGGUUAAUCAUCUGGGGUUCUCCCCAGUGCACUUUUCCAGUCCAGGCCAGCAUCAGUUUUCCCCGGGGGAUAAAGACUUCGGGAAUGUGGCUCUCUUCGGGGAGUGUUAUAGCCCGUUGUGUAAUACCCUGGGGGGGACUGAGGUUCGCGCAUCUGCAAGGAUGCUGGCGUAAUGGUCAUCAACGACCCGUCUUGAACAGGGGGAAACAACAA